UAUAGCUCAGUUGGUAGAGCAUGAGAAUCUUAAUCUCAGGAUCAUGGGUUUGAGCCCCACAUUGGGCAAAA